rnacentral:rRNA from 1 species
CCUACGGGAGGCAGCAGUAGGGAAUCUUCCACAAUGGGCGAAAGCCUGAUGGAGCAACGCCGCGUGGGUGAAGAAGGUCUUCGGAUCGUAAAACCCUGUUGUUAGAGAAGAAAGUGCGUGAGAGUAACUGUUCACGUUUCGACGGUAUCUAACCAGAAAGCCACGGCUAACUACGUGCCAGCAGCCGCGGUAAAACGUAGGUGGCAAGCGUUAUCCGGAUUUAUUUGGCGUAAAGGGAACGCAGGCGGUCUUUUAAGUCUGAUGUGAAAGCCUUCGGCUUAACCGGAGUAGUGCAUUGGAAACUGGGAGACUUGAGUGCAGAAGAGGAGAGUGGAACUCCAUGUGUAGCGGUGAAAUGCGUAGAUAUAUGGAAGAACACCAGUGGCGAAAGCGGCUCUCUGGUCUGUAACUGACGCUGAGGUUCGAAAGCGUGGGUAGCAAACAGGAUUAGAUACCCCUGUAGUC